CUCCCACAUUCACAAAAGGUCUCCUCUCUUCUUUCUUACAUGGAAGGUGGUUUGGAUCAAAUCUAAAAGGAAUAAGUUUGGAUUUCGAAUUCUAUGAGAUCGAGUUUUAGAAAUCCAAAACUCUUUCAAUUUUGCACCAAAUUUAUCCAAAUUUUUUUUGGAAUUUUUGUGGAUUUUAUGGUAUACAUUGUGCACCCUUUU
rnacentral:lncRNA from 1 species